rnacentral:rRNA from 1 species
CAGUCGCCGCGGUAAGACAGAGGAUGCAAGCGUUAUCCGGAAUGAUUGGGCGUAAAGCGUCUGUAGGUGGCUUUUCAAGUCCGCCGUCAAAUCCCAGGGCUCAACCCUGGACAGGCGGUGGAAACUACCAAGCUGGAGUACGGUAGGGUCAGAGGGAAUUUCCGGUGGAGCGGUGAAAUGCGUUGAGAUCGGAAAGAACACCAACGGCGAGAGCACUCUGCUGGGCCGACACUGACACUGAGAGACGAAAGCUAGGGGAGCAAAUGGGAUUAGAUACCCCCGUAGUCCCUGUCUCUUAUAC